rnacentral:rRNA from 1 species
UUAAUAUUUAAGAUAUAUCCUGCUCAAUGAUAGUAAUUAAAUAGCUGCAGUAUUCUAACUGUACAAAGGUAGCAUAAUAGAUUGUUUUUUAAUUGAAGACUAGAAUGAAUGGAUGAACGUAAUUAAGACUGUUUCUAUUAUAUUUUUAUAAAUUGAUAUUUUAGUGAAAAAGCUAUAAUAUUAUUAAAAGACAAUAAGACCCUUAGAGCUAUUAUUAAUAUAAUAUGUUAUGUAAAUAAAUUUAAUUUUGACUGGGGUGGUUUAGGAAUAUAAUUAACUUCCUAUUUUAGUAUGAUGGUUUAAUCUAUUAAUGAAAAAUUUAAAAUUUUAGAUUAGUUACCUAAGGGAUAACAGAUUAAUUUUUUUAGAGAGUUCUUAUUGAUAAAAUAGAUUAAUACCUCGAUGUUGGCUUAAAAUAACCUUUAAAUGCAGAAGUUUAAAAGGUUGGUUUGUUCAACCAUUAAAAUUUUACGU